rnacentral:lncRNA from 1 species
AUGUUCUUACAGCCCUGCAAGUUAUAACACCCUGAUUAUAAAUUCAAAUGUCUCCUUACAGAACAGAGAGAGAAACAACCAAAACAAUGACCCCAGCACACAAUGGUUACUUUAUAAUGGACAAUCUUUGAAAAUAUUUUCAUCGUGACAGCAGGGUUUUUGAAGAAAGGAAUAAAAGACAGAAAGAAAUAUAAAGAGAAAUAGAAACUAUUCAGUAACAAAGAGACAGGAAAUCAUGCCGGCCCAGACUGCAGUGCUCAAACUGCGGUUAAACUGAUGGCCUGCCUGGGAUUUCAGGCUGAGCACUCUCUCCCCAGGGGGAUAUUAUAAACAAGAAUUUACUAUCAAAAUAUUUUUAUUUGUCUGAAAACUAAUUUACCAAGCAUGGAGAUCAGAGGUGUGGAGCAGAUGGAAGAAACAACCUGCUCGCCUGCCUUGAAGGAAUCAGCGGCAGAGAGCCACAGCAAGUGGAUUGGAAAUGUCACCUGAGCCCCGAAGCUUCGUAAAUAUCAGGAAAGAAGACAGCAGCAAUCUCGCAGCCCGCAGCCCACAAAGCCACUCUCUUGCUGCGGGUAUUAAUCAUUAAUGAUGAUUUCUCCAGGAAGGGGCGAGAAAGGCCCAUUUCUGCAGAGCCCCCCGAUCCCGGGGCUGUGUCGGGCUCGCCACAACAGCACGGUUUGCAAUUAUUUUUUGUACCGUUCCUUUUAUCUCUGCAAGAAUCUCCAGCCUCCAGGUAAUGAAGAGCUUCCUCUACCACUCUGUAGCACUGAAAUAUUGAUCUGAUUAUUGGAACAAAGGAUUACCGCAACAAUAGGAACUGUAUCCUGGUGUGAACUUGGACUUCAAAGGG